AAUAGAUACCCUGGUAGUCCACGCCGUAAACGAUGAGUACUAGCUGUCGGAGGUUACCCCUUCGGUGGCGCAGCUAACGCAUUAAGUACUCCGCCUAGGAAGUACGCUCGCAAGAGUGAAACUCAAAGGAAUUGACGGGGACCUGCACAAGUAGCGGAGCAUGUGGUUUAAUUCGAAGCAACGCGAAGAACCUUACCUAAGCUUGACAUCCUUUUGACCGAUGCCUAAUCGCAUCUUUCCCUUCGGGGACAGAAGUGACAGGUGGUGCAUGGUUGUCGUCAGCUCGUGUCGUGAGAUGUUGGGUUAAGUCCCGCAACGAGCGCAACCCUUGCCUUUAGUUGCCAGCAUUAAGUUGGGCACUCUAGAGGGACUGCCAGGGAUAACCUGGAGGAAGGUGGGGAUGACGUCAAAUCACCAUGCCCCUUAUGCUUAGGGCUACACACGUGCUACAAUGGGUGGUACAGAGGGCAGCGAAGUCGUGAGGCCAAGCUAAUCCCUUAAAGCCAUUCUCAGUUCGGAUUGUAGGCUGAAACUCCG
rnacentral:rRNA from 1 species